GCGACCCCAGGAUGGGCGAGGCCACCCGCCGAGUUUAAGCAUAUCAAUAAGCGGAGGAGAAGAAACUUACGAGGAUUCCCCUAGUAACGGCGAGCGAACCGGGAUAGGCCCAGCAUUGGGAAAUCGGGCUGCCAUGCAGCAGCCCGAAUUGUAGUCUGGAGAAGCGUCCUCAGCGACGGACCGGGCCCAAGUCCCCUGGAAAGGGGCGCCGGGGAGGGUGAGAGCCCCGUUCGGCCCGAACCCUGUCGCAACACGAGGCGUUGUCGGCGA
rnacentral:rRNA from 1 species